UUUGUAUUGUAGAACAACUAUCAUCCAGUUUAAAUGAGAUAAAGGAUAUUUUAAAUUUCCUAAUAUAUUGAAAAACGUAUAAGUAACAUUUCAAGAAAAAAACAUGCAUAUUAGAAUUUGAAAUUUCUAGAAAACACUUAAUGCUCUCUGUAUUACUAAUUGCAGAAAUUAAUAAAAAAAAUUAGCUGUCAUCAAAAAAAGUUCCAUUAUCUAUUUGUUAAACAAACAAUUUUAUAUCGUUUUGAAUUUCUUACGUCUUUUACGUAUGUAUUUCAAGAAUGAAUAUCGUUGCAUAGGCGAAUCAUAAUAUAUGUAUAAUCUGAAGCAAAUUUUUCAAAAAUUAAUGUCAUCUAAUAUUGUUCAUUAAAAAUUUAUGAACAAAUUUAAAAUACGUAAUUUUGUAGCGUAAUAUAGACAGCCCUGAUAGUGUAUCAUCUUAGCUUGGCAACUGAAUAUAUAUUCAACAUUAAUUUUAUAUGUACUUUCUCAGGCAUUGUUCUGAGUUUCAAUAGAUUUGACAUUAUGUGCUACUUUUUAAGAAAUGCUUUUUUACAUAACAGAUAUUAAUAAUCACUGGAUUUAUGUACCAAAUCUCUAUUAUGAAACAAUCCGUAUGUUUGGCAACAAACAGCACGUUGAUCUAUUACGCACGCGCAAUCGGCAGCUUGUUACAUUGACUUCUAGGAGUCUUCCUAUCAUUGUAAGCGAAAUGUCGUUCCACAAAAUUCUGUAUUUAUCGUUCGCUGACAUAUCUCAAGAGAAGUAAGCAAAAAGAGCAGUACAAAAAUGUUUGCAUGGGGCGUGGUAAAGGAGUUGAUAUUAAGUAUAUUUUGUAUGCUGCCUUGUAAGAGUCUGAUGACCUGCGUAAAACUCACUUGUCGAUUCGCAGUGUCGCGAAGAAUCUUCCCGCUUUGCUACGAUGAGGUGAAUAUGAACGCAAUAGCCGAGUUGUUCCGACAUCGUCCGAACGAACGAAAUUUCGUUUAUCGUUACUGUAGUACUGACGAACAUCGUCAGUACUAGCGUAUGCGGAACUGGUACUGGACGAAGGGUGUCUCGAUUUAACCUAAGGCAACAAAAUAUCACAGAAACUAAGAUUUAUCGGAAGAAAUGCUUUAAACAAAAGUUAUAGAGUUUGGUGGGAGACAUUUGUUGUCGACCUUGUCUUGGGUCAAGGUCGUUCAGCUGUAUCACGGUCAGCUUAGUUUUCCUAAACGGAAACCCUCAUCUUUUAUUGUGGAUUUCGAUCAUUAACCUUCGCGCGGCCGAUCGUCUAGCGGAUAAAUGCAGCGUCUAUUCCGAGUAUGCAAAGAAAUUGCUAUUUAUGCAGAAAUGUCCGCUAUAACAUCCACAGUCUGGAUUUAACGUGCAUGCAUAUCUGGAUUGAUAAAUUCUGAGAAUUCAAUUGAGCUCACGCCGAGACUCCAUUUCCAAGAAUUAGCGGGAAUAUUCGGAAGCUAAAUUCGGCAACAGGUAAAAUGGACGAAAGUCGAAACGUUAAAGCGGAACUUCUGUAUCUCGCUAAAGCGAGACUUUUGUAUCCUAUCUUCCCGCGCGGACGCACAGACAUUGUCCCAUCGCUCUGUAGUUGAAACAGGAGAGUAGGAGAAGCGAGAGAACUUUUAUUGUCGUUACUUCGAGACAACUAUCAACGGAUCUGUUUAGACUCUGUAUUUGUUCUUCGAGGGAUAUUGAAAUCAUACGUUGGCGAAAUCAAUGAACGAGGUUUGCGUACAAGAACAAGCAGUCAACUACCGGUGAUGUACCAGCGAGCAAGUUAUUAUUGAUCCCAACGCCAGCAAAGCUUCGCUGAGUCUUCGUUGCAAUGGCGGGAAUGGAAAGAAAGAGCCAGUUCCGCUACCGGACGGUCUUCGCGAUCCUGCUGCGCUCGGUGUCCUUGCUUGAAUCUCCUGAAUUAGAAUCCAUUGUCAGCAGCGAUCGUUUCCGAAUAUUAAAUUCGGGUAAAAAGAAUUUAUGGGUGACUUGGAUUAUUCGUUCGCUAAACAGAAGAGAUUGAAAAGAAAAAUUGAAAGAAAAGAAUACGCUACGGUAUUGAAGUAUAUUGCUCUCUGUAGUUAAAAUGUCUUAUGCUAUAUUUUUUCAUGUUUCAAGAUAUGUUGAAAUAUAUUUAAGAUUCUCCGUGUCUUUUAUCUUCCAAAUUACAUGCUGAGUAAAUUAUGAAAAGUUGGAAAUUGCGGAAAACAAUUGAAAAAUCUUCUUCAAUUCGUAUAUAAUAAAUAUUCAUAGAAAUACUUGAGAAUCGGUGAAUUACGAUUUUCCAAAGGUAGCCAGAUUGAAUAAAUCUUCUACUACUGUUACUUUGAAUAAUUCUCUUAUUAUUCAUUAUGAAGGAGAAAUUCAGGAAAGGGUUGAAUAAUUCUAAGAACUUUUUCUACAAAGUGGAAUUUCAGACUUAUUAAUCUAUUGUAUUAAAAAGAUGUGCAUUUUUUCAUCAUAAAAUAUCAUGGAAGAGAAGAUUGCAAUAGAUUCUCUGUAGCAAAGUUAUGAAAUGAAGUUUUACUGACCUCCAAGGGGAUUAUAUUUGCAUAGAUUUACUAUGAUAGAAUCUCGAACAUUCGUUGAUCGACUGUGAUCCUUUUGGCCAUCAUAUGUACCGCAAGAAAUGUUUCUUUAGAAAGAAAAAUUCAUUGAAAGUGACUUGAACAACGGCGCAUACAUAUCUGGCAGCUAUGUAAUUGAGUCAAUAAUUAUAUAGAAAAUGUUAUUUCUUACACAAUUAUGUCGAGUAACAGUAGUCUUUAAGCAUGUAAAUUGCAUCUACCGAUACAUUCUAGAACACGAAUUCGCUGUACUUUAUAGUAUUUCUUUCAUUCUACUUUCUUCAAAUUUUCAAUGGUCAAAUAUUUUCGUGAUUCACUAUAUUUAGGUACAUAUUAAAAGUUGAUAGUUCUAAUGUCUCAAAUAUCUCAAAAUAAAUAUAAAAAGAAAAAAAAAUAUUUAUCAAGGAAGAAAUUUUCUAGAAAAAUUCCAAACUAACUGCAAAAUUAUUUCAAAUCGUUGAUUAUUA